ensembl:lncRNA
GGACCAUGUGCUUUAGGAGAGCAAACUUCCUGCUGCUCAAGGAACUGCUGAGUGAGAUCCCCGAGGAAGCUGUCCUUAUGGGCAUGGGUGCAGAACAGAGCUGGCAGCUCUGGAAGGACACCUUUCUGAGAGCACAACUGCUCUCCCUCCUCCAAAAGAAGAAGUCGAGCAGGGGAGGCAGGCGACUGUUGUGGCUGUGCAAGGACCUGCAGCUAAAACUGAGAGAAAAGGGGGAAUUGUGUAGCAGGUGGAAGCAGGGUAGUGUGUCCUGGGAGGAAUAGAGGGCUAUUGUCCGUGUGUGUAGAGAUAGGAUUAGGAAAGCCAAGGCGCUGGUGGAGCUGAACUUGGCAAGGGAUGUGGAAGAUAACAAGAAGGGGUUCUACAGGUACAUAGGCAGGAGGAGACAUUCCAAGGAGAGUGUUCCCCCUCUGACGAGAGGCAAUGGGGAGCUGGCUUCUUCAGACACAGAAAAAGCUGAGGUACUCAAUGAGUGCUUUGCCUCAGUCUUCACGGGUGGUCAGGCUUCCCGUGUCUGCCAGGACCACGAGCCUCUAGGUUAGGGUGUGGGAGUGGUUUCUGUCCCACUGUAACGGUAAAACAAGUCCGAGUCCUCCUCAUGAAAUUGAACGUGUGUAAGUCCAUGGGGCCAGAUGAUAUCCAUCCUAGGUAAAGGGCAAAAUCGGGUCCCCGCAGUAUAGAAAGAAGGGCUUCAUAGCAAGAAAAGAGAAAGCAGCUUCACAAGGUAGACAUAAGGGGCAAAUAGAGAUAGUUUAUGUAGAGAGUAUUAGAAAACAAGAAAUUCCAAGCACUUUCACAGGCGCUAGGUCCGGAAUAACAAGGAGAAUGAAGGCCAUAAAGAUAAGGACCGGAGAACAGCUUGAAAACAUUUGGCAGGCAGGUGAUUAGAUGUCUGAAGUGCAAGCUGAAACCAGUUUGGGGGAUGCCCUCCCUUCAGGGUCAGAAGUUUGCAGCGAGGAAGACUAUGAGCCUUCGUGAGGAAGACUGCAAGCCUUCAUCAUCACGACCUACUACGCACGCGCAAGGGGGGGAGGGACUGUAUGCUAAUGGGCUCUUCGGAACAUAGUGAAUAUGUAUCCAAAUUCCUGUCAACUAUUGAUUAUGUAUUAGUUCAACCUAUAUCUAUAGCACGAUUUCUCCUGACGGUGUGCAAGUUAGGUGGAACGAUCCCCCUUGCACCAGGGUGUACGCGCGUCACCAAUAAACACAUGCCUG